UAUAAUUCUAUUUUCGAAUUUAUUAUAAUUAUUCGUUAUUUAUAAAAAACCAUUUAUUAAAAAAAGUCCAUGUUCAACCACCCAAACCCAAUCCUUUUACUCCAACGGAUCAUCGACACCCAAACUUCCCUCUCUAAAAUCCAUCCAUGUUGGCGGCGUCCGCCUUUCUUUCUGCCACAACUAUCGUCAUCCACCCUCUCUACCGCCACCAACAACCGACAGUCAUCCCUCACCUCUCUUCCAAACUUCGACCGUUCCCUCAAUCUCCCCUAAAAUACCACCCACUCCUAUAUUAGCCCUUCACCCCACAAUAUUUAACCCAUCUACCCUUCUUGUUCAAAGAUUCAACUAGAAUCGUAAUCACCACCACCCACAUCCUACUCACCUUUACAACCAACAACAACCACCGUACACAGCACUAGAAACCACCACCACGAGAGCCAAAUAAAAAUCAAAUCAAAGACAAAGCUGAUAAUCAAACUUGAAAUCAAAGCUGGAAACAAAUUAACCUGAAAUUAAAGUUCAAUACCAACCCAUAAUAAAAUGUGAAAUCAAAGUGCAAAACUAAACCAUAAAUAAAAAUGUGAAAUCAAAGUGCAAAACCAAACCAUAAUAAAUCUGAAAUCUAGUAACAUGGUUAGGGAUACAAUCGAAGUGGCGAUGAGAAAAACAGAGAGUUGUCAAUGAGUUUUCGACAACUAAUUUCUAUGAUACUGGUUUACAAACGAUUCCAAAAUCCAAAUUCCAAAAUCAAAGCAAAGUCAAAAUUGAGGAACCUACCACCGAUCUGUGAAAUCGAAACUAAAAAUCAUAUGAAGGGUUCUGAAACGAAAAUCAAUUUCUUGAUAACAUCGAUUUCAAAAUCGUUAACGAUUGGCUGUAGCUCUCCAUUUUUGUUUUUUACCUUAACGUCAUAGUGGUGGCAGUCGGAUGUGAUUUUCCAGAACACAAGGUCAAGUUGUGGACGAGGGGUUGGGGAUCUGAUUGGCUCAUACUGCAAAUUUGUGUUAAUUACUUCCAAUAGAGAAGAAGAAAAAGAGCAGGGCCAUCAGAAAAAUGGCGCCGGAAAAAGGGUUUGGGUAGAGACAUUUGAGAAGAGUUUGGGCGAGUGGGGAUAAAAUGAAGGGUUUUUUUCCUUUUGAU
rnacentral:lncRNA from 1 species